rnacentral:rRNA from 2 species
CACGCAGUAAACGAUGAAUACUAGCUGUAUGCGAUACACCGUAUGUGGCACAGCGAAAGCGUUAAGUAUUCCACCUGGGGAGUACGUUCGCAAGAAUGAAACUCAAAGGAAUUGACGGGGGCCCGCACAAGCGGAGGAACAUGUGGUUUAAUUCGAUGAUACGCGAGGAACCUUACCCGGGCUUGAAAUGCAGAAGACCGACGAAGAAAUUCGUUUUCCAGCAAUGGCUUCUGUGUAGGUGC